rnacentral:rRNA from 1 species
GAUGAACGCUGGCGGCGUGCCUAAUACAUGCAAGUCGAGCGAACGGACGUGAAGCUUGCUUCUCUGAUGUUAGCGGCGGACGGGUGAGUAACACGUGGAUAACCUACCUAUAAGACUGGGAUAACUUCGGGAAACCGGAGCUAAUACCGGAUAAUAUUUUGAACCGCAUGGUUCAAAAGUGAAAGACGGUCUUGCUGUCACUUAUAGAUGGAUCCGCGCUGCAUUAGCUAGUUGGUAAGGUAACGGCUUACCAAGGCAACGAUGCAUAGCCGACCUGAGAGGGUGAUCUGCCACACUGGAACUGAGCCACGGUCCAGACUCCUACGGGAGGCAGCAGUAGGGAAUCGUCCGCAAUGGGCGAAAGCCUGACGUAGCAACGCCGCGUGAGUGAUGAAGGUCUUCGGAUCGUAAAACUCUGUUAUUAGUGAAGAACAUAUGUGUAAGUAACUGUGCACAUCUUGACGGUACCUAAUCAGAAAGCCACGGCUAACUACGUG